UACAGAGGGUGCGAGCGUUAAUCGGAAUUACUGGGCGUAAAGGGUGCGUAGGUGGUUAUUUAAGUCAGAUGUGAAAGCCCUGGGCUCAACCUAGGAAUUGCAUUUGAUACUGAGUAGCUAGAGUACGGUAGAGGGAAGUGGAAUUUCCGGUGUAGCGGUGAAAUGCGUAGAUAUCGGAAGGAACAUCAGUGGCGAAGGCGUCUUCCUGGACUGAUACUGACACUGAGGCACGAAAGCAUGGGGAGCAAACAGG
rnacentral:rRNA from 2 species